CGCUGGCGGCGCGCCUAACACAUGCAAGUCGAACGAGAAUCCGGGGCAACCCGGUAGUAAAGUGGCAAACGGGUGAGGAAUACAUGGAUGACCUUCCCUGGAGUGGUGGAUAACCUGCCGAAAGGCGGGCUAAUACAGCAUGGGACCACGACGCUUUGGCGAUGUGGUGAAAGCGGGCCUCUAUAUAUAAGCUCGCGCUCCGGGACGGGUCCGCGUCCCAUCAGCUAGUUGGUGAGGUAACGGCUCACCAAGGCUUCGACGGGUAGCUGGUCUGAGAGGAUGGCCAGCCACACUGGAACUGAGACACGGUCCAGACUCCUACGGGAGGCAGCAGUGGGGAAUCUUGCGCAAUGGGCGAAAGCCUGACGCAGCGACGCCGCGUGGGCGAAGAAGGCCUUCGGGUUGUAAAGCCCUGUGGGGGAGAACGAACCGUACGGGGGCGAAUACCCUCCGUGCCUGACGGUACUCCUUUAGCAAGCAUCGGCUAACUCUGUG
rnacentral:rRNA from 1 species